CUACGGGGGGCUGCAGUGAGGAAUAUUGCACAAUGGGGGGAACCCUGAUGCAGCAACGCCGCGUGGAGGAUGACGCAUUUCGGUGUGUAAACUCCUUUUAUAUGUCAAGAAAAUGACGGUAGCAUAUGAAUAAGCACCGGCUAACUCCGUGCCAGCAGCCGCGGUGAUACGGAGGGUGCAAGCGUUACUCGGAAUCACUGGGCGUAAAGGACGCAUAGGCGGGUUGGAAAGUCAGGUGUGAAAUCCUACAGCUUAACUGUAGAACUGCACUUGAAACUUCUAAUCUAGAGUAUGGGAGGGGAGAUGGAAUUAGUGGUGUAGGGGUAAAAUCCGUAGAUAUCACUAGGAAUACCUAAAGCGAAGGCGAUCUCCUGGAACAUUACUGACGCUAAGGCGUGAAGGCGUGGGGAGCAAACAGGAUUAGAUACCCGCGUACUC
rnacentral:rRNA from 1 species